UAGUUUUGUGCUAAGUCAAAUUUCUCUAAUUUUGACCAAGUCUUUAGAAAAAUAUAUUAACAUCUAUAAACAAACUCAAAUAAAUGCACUAGCAAGACAUUAUGGAGAAUUUAAUUAAACUAAUUUGACAUCGUAGAUGUUGAUACAUUUUUCUAUAAACUUGGUCGAAGCUAGAUAGAUUGACUUAGAACAAAACUAG
rnacentral:pre_miRNA from 1 species